ensembl:lncRNA
CACCGCGCCCGGGCCGUGUGGCGGGGAGGCGGCGCUGGAAGACCGCUACUGGCGGCCCGCCUCAGCGCGGCUGGAGGGCGUCAUCUCGCAGCGGGAGCUUUCUUUAAGCUGACAGGGAAGACCCGUCAGAGGGAACCUCAGUUUUCAGAUGUCUUCCUGAGCAGUUUCCUUUCAGAGCCCUGCUGAGGGUGAGAUCCUCCAAGCAAAGGCAAUCUGCAGUUGAGUGCGUCCUUUGGAAAGCUGCGUGUUACUUUCUGGAUCGUCCCAAGGCAGCUUCCUUCCCUUGCCUGCGCUGCAUGCGCUUUUGGCCUUGCUCUGCGUGUUUAGAUUCGCGAUAUGUUUGUGAUUUGUUGCACUUCUUUUCCCCACUUAGAAAGGGCUGCUAGGAUGGCAACUUUAACGUUGUUAAUGACGGUCCAUUUUUACUUAGUUUUUCCUUAUCCACCGUAGCGCACGGUCACUGACGGGUCUGCAUCACAAACGGGAAACCUCUCUAACAACUCCCAUUCCUCUACCAGUGUAAGCCAAUCCCUUAUCCCCGUGAGUUUUGGAAUCCAAGUCGUUGGCUGAGCCUGCAGGCAAUAUAAUUGAUAGUAAUUAUAUCCAUCCAUUAAUAGUGGCUAGCAGCAGCAGCUCAAUACUUGAGAGCCAUUGGCAGCCCGCUUACUGUUUCAAUUUCUAAAUUGAUCUCCGGAGCUGGCAGGAAUUAGAACCCAAAGGAAAACGUAUUUUGGUUAUCUCUGCCUUUCCAGAUCUCUCCAGAAGGUUGCCGGGGCACAGAAUUCCCUAACUCUUCUUUUU